rnacentral:lncRNA from 1 species
ACUUGGUCACGCUCCCAGAGAGUCACGAGACGCGCAGUCUGCGUGAAGUGUCACCCAGCACGUGGAGCCAGGGUCGGGCCGCGCCAGCGGGCAGAACCCCCCCGACUUUUGGGAGGGUCUCGCCGCCGUGCGCCUCUCGCCAUACAUUGGGCGCGCUCCGCCCGCGGAGGGGGCCCCCCAGGUCUCGAGCAGAGCGAGCGAGGCCACGGUCCCGAGCCCCUGGCCAGGCGCACACGGGGCGUCCAGGACGUCGGGACCCGGUGUGCGGUGACACCCUCUGUGCCCCAGCGGCGACACGGGUUUGUCCAUGCGCGAGGGCGCGGCCUGCGGCGAGAGGCGCCCGCGGCUCGACCGGGCCCCGGCCCCGCGCCCCGCCGAGCUGAACGCAGUGCACAGGAAUGUCACCAAGUCCUAAAGCCACCAAAUGCUGCCCUCCCACUGAGGCCGGGCAGUGGCCCCCGCACAGACGGACAGACAGGGAGCAAGCAGGACCCAGCCCAGGUGCACCCAUGUCUCACUGACCUCGUGGGCCAGCAGAGGAGAUGCUUGGGCUACUGCUGAGGUUCCCAGGUGCCCGCUCAAGAUGACCGCGUGUCCUCGACCCUGACUGCGAUCAUCUUCCUGCUUUGGCUCCGCCUCCACGCCAGCUCCGCCGGACACAGGGAAGGGGACGGCUCACAGCUCAAGCUCCACCGUGGAUGCCAUCUGUCGCUUCUUGGUAAGCAGAGGGCGGGGCUCUCCUGAAAUGAGAUUCCCCCCACCUCCCAGAUAGGGGUGGUCAGACGUGGUCCCUGAAUGGCCAUGCUAGCCUCUGCUUAUUUCAAAUUGCCCAUGUACCCCAGUAACCUCUGCCCUGCCCUUCUGUCCCCCAAAACUUUGUUCUUGCAGGCAUUCCUCAUGUGUUACUCUAAGCAUUUGCAAAAAACAAAACUACAUCAAAAACAACACCGAUUAUUGCUUUUUUGUUUUCCCAACUGCAAACAAAUGGCCUUCUAAGGCUGUAGCAUGUUGGUGACAAGACAGGGCUGAUGAAUGCCCGUGACCAGGGAUGCUGUGUGCUAAUGAAACCGAUCCUUACUGCUUCCGCAGCACCCGUGUGCCCUGCCCAGCGCCCAGGAUCAGGCCUUUUCUAAGAGGCAGGCCCGAAGCCCCUUCCAGCAACGUCCCCGUGCCUGCUGGAGUCAGAGCGCCUUUGCUCUCCUUUUGCUGAGUGGGACGCACUGUGGGUCCCCAGCCAGGAAGCACUGAGAUUUGUCCAGCCCUGGGGUUCUCUGUAAACCAGGGUUGAUGAGGCUGGCAGAGGAUGCUGGCCGUGUGGGCCAGGGGCCGCCACAGCACUGCUGGUCCCGUGGCCCUAGACUCACCUGGGGAGCCGGUGCCUGAGCCUUGCCCAGUUGGAUCUGCAUUGCUGGGGGUACCCAGAGCUUGGAAUCUUUGUUGCUUCUUGCCUGUUCCUCCAGUGAGUCUGCCAGGCAGCUGGGGACCCUCAGGCCAUGUGCUCCUGGGUUAGAGGGGGAUGAGCCGUACCUGGUUCUGAAGGCAGAGUCGCAUCAAGGGACAU